UACGAAGGGGGCUAGCGUUGCUCGGAAUUACUGGGCGUAAAGCGCACGUCGGCGGAUUGUUAAGUCGGGGGUGAAAUCCUGGAGCUCAACUCCAGAACUGCCUUCGAUACUGGCGAUCUCGAGUUCGGGAGAGGUGAGUGGAACUGCGAGUGUAGAGGUGAAAUUCGUAGAUAUUCGCAAGAACACCAGUGGCGAAGGCGGCUCACUGGCCCGAUACUGACGCUGAGGUGCGAAAGCGUGGGGAGCAAACAGG
rnacentral:rRNA from 1 species